AACGAACGCUGGCGGCAUGCCUAACACAUGCAAGUCGAACGAGAUCUUCGGGUCUAGUGGCGCACGGGUUCGUAACGCGUGGGAAUCUGCCCUUUGGUUCGGAAUAACAGUUGGAAACGACUGCUAAUACCGGAUGAUGACGAAAGUCCAAAGAUUUAUGGCCAGAGGAUGAGCCCGCGUAGGAUUAGCUAGUUGGUGUGGUAAAGGCGCACCAAGGCGACGAUCCUUAGCUGGUCUGAGAGAAUGAUCAGCCACAAUGGCGCUGAGACACGGCCCAGACUCCUACGGGAGGCAGCAGUGGGGAAGAUUGGACAAUGGGCGAAAGCCUGAUCCAGCAAUGCCGCGUGAGUGAUGAAGGCCUUAGGGUUGUAAAGCUCUUUUACCCGGGAUGAUAAUGACAGUACCGGGAGAAUAAGCUCCGGCUAACUCCGUGCCAGCCGCCGCGGUAA
rnacentral:rRNA from 1 species